UACGGAGGGGGCAAGCGUUGUUCGGAAUUACUGGGCGUAAAGCGCGCGUAGGCGGAUUAGUCAGUUAGAGGUGAAAUCCCGGGGCUCAACCCCGGAACUGCCUUCGAUACUGGUAGUCUUGAGUUCGAGAGAGGUGAGUGGAAUUCCGAGUGUAGAGGUGAAAUUCGUAGAUAUUCGGAGGAACACCAGUGGCGAAGGCGGCUCACUGGCUCGAUACUGACGCUGAGGUGCGAAAGCGUGGGGAGCAAACAGGAUUAGAUACCCCCGUAGUCC
rnacentral:rRNA from 1 species